UACGUAGGGGGCAAGCGUUGUUCGGAAUUACUGGGCGUAAAGGGCGCGUAGGCGGCACGGCAAGUCAGGAGUGAAAGCCCUGGCUCAACCCGGGAACUGCUUUUGAAACUGCCGAGCUAGAGUGCGGAAGGGGCAACUGGAAUUCCCAGUGUAGCGGUGAAAUGCGUAGAUAUUGGGAAGAACACCUGAGGCGAAGGCGGGUUGCUGAGCCGACACUGACGCUGAGGCGCGAAAGGCGUGGGGAGCGAACAGG
rnacentral:rRNA from 1 species